GGUGGUCAGUGGGAAUGGGAAUAUGAACUUAAACUGAACUGACUGACACACCUGCUAAGAAAAGGGCAGGACAAAGGCCUGGAGGGGACAGAUGAUUGGCCAAGACACAACAAAGACAUGCAACAC